rnacentral:rRNA from 2 species
UGAGGAAUAUUGGUCAAUGGGCGAGAGCCUGAACCAGCCAAGUCGCGUGAAGGAAGACGGCCUUAUGGGUUGUAAACUUCUUUUGCAGGGGAAUAAAAGGGAGUACGUGUACUUUAUUGCAUGUACCCUGCGAAUAAGCAUCGGCUAACUCCGUGCCAGCAGCCGCGGUAAUACGGAGGAUGCGAGCGUUAUCCGGAUUUAUUGGGUUUAAAGGGUGCGCAGGCGGGCUUUUAAGUCAGCGGUGAAAUCUGGUCGCUUAACGAUCAAACUGCCGUUGAAACUGGGAGUCUUGAGUAUAGAUGAAGUAGGCGGAAUUCGUUGUGUAGCGGUGACAUGCUUAGAUAUAACGAGGAACUCCGAUUGCGUAGGCAGCUUACUAAACUAUAACUGACGCUCAAGCACGAAAGCGUGGGGAUCAAACA